GUAGGUGGCAAGCGUUGUCCGGAAUUAUUGGGCGUAAAGCGCGCGCAGGCGGUUCUUUAAGUCUGAUGUGAAAGCCCACGGCUCAACCGUGGAGGGUCAUUGGAAACUGGAGAACUUGAGUACAGAAGAGGAAAGCGGAAUUCCACGUGUAGCGGUGAAAUGCGUAGAGAUGUGGAGGAACACCAGUGGCGAAGGCGGCUUUCUGGUCUGUAACUGACGCUGAGGCGCGAAAGCGUGGGGAGCAAACAGGGAUUAGAUACCCUGGUAGUCCACGCCGUAAACGAUGAGUGCUAAGUGUUAGGGGGUUUCCCGCCCCUUAGUGCUGCAGCUAACGCAUUAAGCACUCCGCCCCGGGGAGUACGGCCGCAAGGCUG
rnacentral:rRNA from 1 species